AGCGGCGUACGGGUGCGGAACACGUGUGCAACCUGCCUUUAUCUGGGGGAUAGCCUUUCGAAAGGAAGAUUAAUACCCCAUAAUAUUUUGAAUGGCAUCAUUUAAAAUUGAAAACUCCGGUGGAUAGAGAUGGGCACGCGCAAGAUUAGAUAGUUGGUGAGGUAACGGCUCACCAAGUCUGCGAUCUUUAGGGGGCCUGAGAGGGUGAUCCCCCACACUGGUACUGAGACACGGACCAGACUCCUACGGGAGGCAGCAGUGAGGAAUAUUGGACAAUGGGUGAGAGCCUGAUCCAGCCAUCCCGCGUGAAGGACGACGGCCCUAUGGGUUGUAAACUUCUUUUGUAUAGGGAUAAACCUUUCCACGUGUGGGAAGCUGAAGGUACUAUACGAAUAAGCACCGGCUAACUCCGUGCCAGCAGCCGCGGUAAUACGGAGGGUGCAAGCGUUAUCCGGAUUUAUUGGGUUUAAAGGGUCCGUAGGCGGAUCUGUAAGUCAGUGGUG
rnacentral:rRNA from 1 species